rnacentral:rRNA from 1 species
UACGGAGGGUGCAAGCGUUAUCCGGAUUCACUGGGUUUAAAGGGUGCGUAGGCGGGCAUGUAAGUCCGUGGUGAAAUCUCCGAGCUUAACUCGGAAACUGCCAUGGAUACUAUGUGUCUUGAAUGUUGUGGAGGUGAGCGGAAUAUGUCAUGUAGCGGUGAAAUGCUUAGAUAUGACAUAGAACACCAAUUGCGAAGGCAGCUCACUACACAAAUAUUGACGCUGAGGCACGAAAGCGUGGGGAUCAAACAGGAUUAGAUACCCUGGUAGUCCACGCCCUAAACGAUGAUUACUCGACAUACGUGAUACACAAUGUGUGUCUGAGCGAAAGCAUUAAGUAAUCCACCUGGGAAGUACGACCGCAAGGUUGAA